GGGGGGAGCUUCAGGGGGGUGUGGGCAAACUGUUUAGCGACGGGAUACCUCAAAGUGUUUAAUUUUGACCGUUUCAAUAUCGGUUAAGUACGUUAUGACAUAAAGUUUGCCUUCGAGUUCCUUGAAAUAUAUUUGAAGUUUACAUAUACAUCUAACCGUAUCAAUUUAUUUAUAUAAUCGUUGCUGCUACAGCUAAAUUAUAUCCAAAAUUUCAUUUAAUUUAUGCGGUUGAAGUUUGUGUGGUAAUAAUAAUCUGCAUAACAAGACAUGCAAUUUUUCUAUGAAUAUAUCUUAUUAGGGAAAGUGUAAUACUGUCCUAUUUGUUGAUGUCAACUGUAACAGCAGUGACGUACAGAGACCAUAGCGACCCAAAGGGGGAUCGAGGGAGGUGGGGGUGUUCCUCUACAUCCUCUUCGCCUUACCAACCAACUCCAUUUUACCAACUAAUUUGCCAGCAGGUCACGGUUUUUCCUACAUAAUCUCCAUUUUGCCGACAAGAUUUCUAAGAAGAGGGUGGGGGGGGGGUGUCACACUCCAACAUACCCCGUUCGGAAACCCGUGUGUAACAGAGUAGUGCCUAUUUCGUUGUAACAGUAAAUCGUUAUAAUUAUCAUAGAAGGAAGAGUGUGAGAUAUGAUAUAAACAAAUUUUAAAUAGGGACUGCACAUGUUACCACAUGUUACUGUACAUGUUACUGCACAUGUUACUA
rnacentral:lncRNA from 1 species